CGGCGUUCUGUGCCAGCUGUAACGGCGUUUAAAACGGCGUUUUAUUGAAAUUAUGCAGGGCACUCCCCAUGGUUCCCUCAUCCAAUUACUUUCAACUCAUUUCACCCAAUCAAAGAAGACGAAGUGCAGACCACACUAAUGCAUCACCGAUUCACCUUGCUGCUGAGUGAUUGCCUAUUCGGUACCAGUGCUUGUCACAGUAUUGACUUGUAUUAUAAUCCCACUAUGCAUUUUGAUGUGUUUAAGGCAUGAUCAAGCAAACAAACGACAGAAUGCUUUUUCUGAAACCUUAACUGUGGUACCUGUUAUGGCAGCUAACAGACACUCGGCGCAUGGCUCCUUUGUUUACGUUAGGGAUCAGCUGUUAGCGCUGCGCCCUGCAGCUGCGCUACCGGCAGACGGUAGCGUCCCCAGUGAGGGAAGAGACGGGGGUGAUGUCUCCCGAGAAGGACACCUUACACACCAUCUCUCCUUCCUGUAAUCACUGUAAACGUGAGAUCGCUCCCUGAUAUGAUUGAGGAGCUAAUGACGCUAACCCGGUCACAGUGGCAGUACCCCGACACUGCCCGGUACUCCCUCUGUGAGUAGGCUGCCCGGCUUCCAGCUGCUGCGGCCGGACAAGACGAGAGACAGCGGUGAGAGGAAAGGAGGGGGACUGGGCAGUGUUUGUUAAAGACGGUUGUGGUAUCCCUGGGCACAUUGCUGUGAAAGAACAACUCUGCAACAGAGACAUUGAGCUAUUAGCCAUUAGCAUCCGUGGAGGCAGCCUGUGACUCUCUGUGGUCCGCAGACGCAAUCUCCGAGAGCUCUUCUUCUAAUAUCAGGGGACUUUAAUCAUGUCUCGCUGGACUCCACACUGACCACCUUCACCCAGUAUGUGACCUGCCCCACCGUAGGCAAUAAAACAUUGUACUUAAUGUAUGCCAAUGAAAAAGUGGCAUACAGUUCAUCACCUCCCCCUGCCCAGGGAAGAUCUGAUCAUAAUUAGUGCGCCUUGUCCCUGUGUGCAGCACUUAGUGUGCACGGAGCCACCAAUCACCCACGCAGUGCCGAGAUGGUCCGCGGAAGGCAUAUGAAUAAAUAAUAAAAGCAAAUAAAUGACAGAAUGCUUUUUCUGAAACAAACGGAGACCUUAACUUUUAUCAAAAUACCGUUUUACUCAGUUUAAAGUAAUACCACUGUAUAAUAGCCUUCAAAUUUAAUAAUGUUAACAGUAUCUCAGGAAUAUUUUUGCCCCAUCAACAUGCAUUAAAAUUAGAUAUGCAGUUUUGAAUCAGACCUGUAUGUACGUUUUCUGAAAAGUGAUGUAAAUAAAUAAUCUCAAAAACAUGAAA